AACGCUAGCUACAGGCUUAACACAUGCAAGUCGAGGGGCAGCAUGAACUUAGCUUGCUAAGUUUGAUGGCGACCGGCGCACGGGUGAGUAACGCGUAUCCAACCUUCCGUACACUCAGGAAUAGCCUUUCGAAAGAAAGAUUAAUACCUGAUGGUAUGAUGAGAUUGCAUGAAAUCAUCAUUAAAGAUUCAUCGGUGUACGAUGGGGAUGCGUUCCAUUAGAUAGUAGGCGGGGUAACGGCCCACCUAGUCGACGAUGGAUAGGGGUUCUGAGAGGAAGGUCCCCCACAUUGGAACUGAGACACGGUCCAAACUCCUACGGGAGGCAGCAGUGAGGAAUAUUGGUCAAUGGGCGAGAGCCUGAACCAGCCAAGUCGCGUGAAGGAAGAAGGAUCUAUGGUUCGUAAACUUCUUUUGCAGGGGAAUAAAGUGCAGGACGUGUCCUGUUUUGUAUGUACCCUGAGAAUAAGGAUCGGCUAACUCCGUGCCAGCAGCCGCGGUAAUACGGAGGAUCCGAGCGUUAUCCGGAUUUAUUGGGUUUAAAGGGUGCGUAGGUGGUUUGAUAAGUCAGCGGUGAAAGUUUGCAGCUUAACUGUAAAAAUGCCGUUGAAACUGUCGGACUUGAGUGUAAAUGAGGUAGGCGGAAUGCGUGGUGUAGCGGUGAAAUGCUUAGAUAUCACGAAGAACUCCGAUUG
rnacentral:rRNA from 1 species